rnacentral:tRNA from 1 species
ACCUGGCUGGCUCAGUCCGUAGAGCAUGUGACUCUUGAUCUCGGUCGUGAGUUCAAGCCCUACGUUGGGUG